rnacentral:rRNA from 1 species
GACGGAGGAUGCAAGUGUUAUCCGGAAUCACUGGGCGUAAAGCGUCUGUAGGUGGUUUAAUAAGUCAACUGUUAAAUCUUGAGGCUCAACCUCAAAAUCGCAGUCGAAACUAUUAGGCUAGAGUAUAGUAGGGGUAAAGGGAAUUUCCAGUGGAGCGGUGAAAUGCGUAGAGAUUGGAAAGAACACCGAUGGCGAAGGCACUUUACUGGGCUAUUACUAACACUCAGAGACGAAAGCUAGUGUAGCAAAUGGG